rnacentral:rRNA from 1 species
GACGAACGCUGGCGGCGUGCUUAACACAUGCAAGUCGAACGGAAAGGCCCUGCUUUUGUGGGGUGCUCGAGUGGCGAACGGGUGAGUAACACGUGAGUAACCUGCCCUUGACUUUGGGAUAACUUCAGGAAACUGGGGCUAAUACCGGAUAGGAGCUCCUGCUGCAUGGUGGGGGUUGGAAAGUUUCGGCGGUUGGGGAUGGACUCGCGGCUUAUCAGCUUGUUGGUGGGGUAGUGGCUUACCAAGGCUUUGACGGGUAGCCGGCCUGAGAGGGUGACCGGCCACAUUGGGACUGAGAUACGGCCCAGACUCCUACGGGAGGCAGCGGUGGGGAAUAUUGCACAAUGGGCGGAAGCCUGAUGCAGCAACGCCGCGUGCGGGAUGACGGCCUUCGGAUUGUAAACCGCUUUCGCCUGUGACGAAGCGUGAGUGACGGUAAUGGGUAAAGAAGCACCGGCUAACUACGUG